rnacentral:rRNA from 1 species
AUUGAACGCUGGCGGAAUGCUUUACACAUGCAAGUCGAACGAUGAACCUUAGCUUGCUAAGGGGGUUAGUGGCGAACGGGUGAGUAAUAUAUCGGAACGUGCCUUGUAAUGGGGUAUAACUAGUCGAAAGAUUAGCUAAUACCGCAUACGCCCUGAGGCGGAAAGUGGGGGAUCUUCGGACCUUACGUUAUAAGAGCGGCCGAUAUCUGAUUAGCUAGUUGGUGGGGUAAUGGCCUACCAAGGCGACGAUCAGUAGCUGGUCUGAGAGGACGACCAGCCACACUGGAACUGAGACACGGUCCAGACUCCUACGGGAGGCAGCAGUGGGGAAUUUUGGACAAUGGGCGCAAGCCUGAUCCAGCCAUUCCGCGUGAGUGAAGAAGGCCUUCGGGUUGUAAAGAUCUUUCGCCAGGGAAGAAAACUUACCAUCGAAUAUAUGGUGAGGCUGACGGUACCUUGAUAAGAAGCACCGGCUAACUACGUG